CGGGUCAGCGUACACUCUAGCCUGAUUGCCUACGUCUGCGGAUAGGGGAGUCAGGCCGUAGCCAUUGAGCUACCAGGGUGCAGAAAGAAAUGACUGCAUCUCCCAAUCUGGAAAGGUGUUCUGGUGUCACAAUU
rnacentral:ncRNA from 2 species